ensembl:lncRNA
CCGGGGCUCUCCCGUUAUUCCCAGCGGGAUUUAAUGGAGGAAAAUCCACCCCCACCCUCGGGAAUCCCGGGAAGCGAAAAGUGCGGGAUCAGCUCCAAACGUCCGCCCGGAUCCGGGAAAAAGGCAGGAAAAACCCCCCAAAUUCCCAGGAAAACCCCCCCCCCCAAAUUCCCAGGAGAAGCAGCGGGAACGGGAGAAGCCUCCAAACCAUUCCCAAGGCCGGGAAAUCUCGGGAUUCCGGGAAUUGCAGCACCUGGAAAACGGGAUAAUCCGCCUUCCUCCGGGGGAAAACGGGGAACGGAAAAGGGAAUUCCGGAGCCGGAAUUAAGGACGAAGGGGGGGAAGUUUUCCAGGGAAUUGGGCGGGAAGGAGAUCCCAGCGGGGUCACCGGCCGGAAUUCCAAGCCCUGGCGGAUCCCAAUCCGUGUUUUUAUCCAGCUGGGAGAGGGAAAACGGGAGUUAAUUCCAAGGGAAAACGGGAUUCGUGUCGAUGUUAAAAUCUGGGAAGCGACAAUUCCCUCGGGAUAUUCCCGAACUAGAGGAGGGAAAAAGCUCUUCCCAGUUAUUCCUCCUUCCCAGAAAAAGAAGGAAGAGCGAAAGGAUCCCAUUCCCCCAAAAAAUCCGGGAUUAAUCCAUGAUUUUGAGAGGAAAAACAGGAUUUGUGUCGAUCUGAACCUUUGGGAAGCGACAAUUCCCUCGGGAUAUUCCUGAACUAGAGGAGGGAAAAAGCUCUUCCCAGUUAUUCCUCCUUCCCAGAAAACAAGGGAAGAGUGAAAGGAUCCCAUUCCCCCAAAAAAUCCGGGAUUAAUCCAUGAUUUUGAGGGGAAAAAGCAGCCCAGGAGGGAAAAAAUUCCCGAAUAUCGGCGGGAAAUCCACAUUCCAAGAGGGACGGGAGCCCGAUCCCGGCUCGGGAAAAGCGGGAACGACGCUCCCGGAGCAGCUUUUCCCGGGAUAAUGAACAUUCCCGGGGGGGGUUGUGUCGCUCCCAAGGGAUGGGAUAACCCGGGAAUGGGAUCCCGGGGAUUCCUCGUCCCGCUGGAUCCAGGAAGGGGAAUAUUCCAGGUUAUGGUUGGGAAUGACACGGCCGGGAAGGUGGGAAUGUUCCGGCUUCCAGUGGCUCCUUCCCAUCCCAUCCCAAAUAUCCAGGAAUUGGGAAUGUUCCGGCUUCCAGUGGCCCCUUCCCAUCCCAUCCCAAACAUCCAGGAAUUGGGAAUGUCCCUGAUCCCAGUGGCUCCUUCCCAUCCCAUCCCAAACAUCCAGGAAGGUGGGAAUGUCCCUGAUCCCAGUGGCUCCUUCCCAGUACAUCCCAAAUAUCCAGGAAUUGGGAAUGUUCUGGCUCCCAGUGGCUCCUUCCCAGCUCAUCCCAAAUAUCCAGGAAGGUGGGAAUGUCCCUCUUCCCAGUGUUUACACCCCUGGAGCCAGGAUCCAGGGAUGCUCCAGGAUCCCUCUUCUCUUCCCAGCUCAUCCCAAAUAUCCGGGAAGGUGGGAAUGUCCCUGAUCCCAGGGUUUACACCCCCGGAGCCAGGAUCCAGGGAUGCUCCGGGAUCCCUCUUCCCAGUGUUUACACCCCUGGAGCCAGGACCCAGGGAUGGCCUGGGAUCCAUCUUCUCUUCCCAUCCCAUCCCAAACAUCCAGGAAUUGGGAAUUUCCCUCUUCCCAGGGUUUGCACCAACCCCACCUGGAGCAUCCUCAGCAUUCCCAUCCCAAACAUCCAGGAAUUGGGAAUCUCCCUGCUUCCAGUGGUUCCUUCCCAGCUCAUCCCAAAUAUUUGGGAAGGUGGGAAUUUCCCUGAUCCCAGUGGCUCCUUCCCAGCUCAUCCCAAAUAUCCAGGAAGGUGGGAAUGUCCCAGAUCCCAGUGUUUACACUCCCAGAGCCAGGAUCCAGGGAUGCUCCGGGAUCCAUCUUCUCUUCCCAUCCCAUCCCAAACAUCCAGGAAUUGGGAAUGUUCCUGCUCCCAGUGGCCCCUUCCCAUCCCAUCCCAAACAUCCAGGAAGGUGGGAAUGUUUCAGCUUCCAGUGGCUCCUUCCCAUCCCAUCCCAAAUAUCCAGGAAUUGGGAAUGUUCCUGCUUCCAGUGGCUCAUUCCCAGCUCAUCCCAAACAUCCAGGAAUUGGGAAUGUCCCUGCUCCCAGUGGCCCCUUCCCAUCCCAUCCCAAAUAUCCGGGAAGGUGGGAAUGUCCCUGAUCCCAGUGUUUACACUCCCGGAGCCAGGAUCCAGGGAUGCUCCAGGAUCCCUCUUCCCAGUGUUUACACCCCUGGAGCCAGGAUCCAGGGAUGGCCUGGGAUCCAUCUUCUCUUCCCAUCCCAUCCCAUCCCAAACAUCCGGGAAGGUGGGAAUGUUUCAGCUUCCAGUGGCUCCUUCACAGCUCAUCCCAAACAUCCAGGAAGGUAGGAAUCUCCCUGAUCCCAGCUUUUU